AGCGUAGACGGCAAGGCAAGUCUGAUGUGAAAACCCAGGGCUUAACCCUGGGACUGCAUUGGAAACUGUCUGGCUCGAGUGCCGGAGAGGUAAGCGGAAUUCCUAGUGUAGCGGUGAAAUGCGUAGAUAUUAGGAAGAACACCAGUGGCGAAGGCGGCUUACUGGACGGUAACUGACGUUGAGGCUCGAAAGCGUGGGGAAGCAAACA
rnacentral:rRNA from 1 species